GUAGGUAUAGUUUACAAAAAACAUUAGACUGUGAAUCUAACGACAAGAGAUAAAACUCUUUAUUUACC
rnacentral:tRNA from 1 species